rnacentral:rRNA from 1 species
ACUCAAAGGAAUAGACGGGGGCCCGCACAAGCGGAGGAGCAUGUGGCUUAAUUCGAUGCUACGCGAAGAACCUUACCCAGACUUGACAUGCAGCUGCACGGCCCGUUAACGCGGGCCUCCUUCGAGGGUGCUGCACAGGUGCUGCAUGGCUGUCGUCAGUUCGUGCCGUGAGGUGUUCGGUUAAGUCCGAUAACGAACGCAACCCUUAUGUGAUGUUGCCAGCGGGUGAUGCCGGGGACUCGUCACAGACUGCCCGUUUACGCGGGAGGAAGGUGGGGAUGACGUCAAGUCAGCAUGGCCCUUACGUCUGGGGCUGCACACGUGCUACAAUGGCCGGUACAGAGGGAUGCCAAACCGCGAGGUGGAGCAAACCCCCAAAACCGGCCCCAGUUCGGAUUGGAGUCUGCAACUCGACUCCAUGAAGUCGGAUUCGCUAGUAACGGCGCAUCAGCUACGGCGCCGUGAAUACGUUCCCGGGCCUUGUACACACCGCCCGU